UGGGGAAUAUUGCGCAAUGGGCGAAAGCCUGACGCAGCGACGCCGCGUGAGUGAAGAAGUCUUUCGGGAUGUAAAGCUCUGUCACGAGGAACGAUAAUGACGGUACCUCGAGAGGAAGCCCCGGCAAACUACGUGCCAGCAGCCGCGGUAAUACGUAGGGGGCAAGCGUUAUCCGGAUUUACUGGGCAUAAAGGGCGCGUAGGUGGUGUUUUAAGUCAGGUGUUAAAGCCUCCAGCUUAACUGGAGUACGCACUUGAUACUGAAAUACUUGAGUACAGGAGAGGGAAGCGGAACCCAUGGUGUAGCGGUGAAAUGCGUAGAUAUCAUGGGGAACACCAGUUGCGAAGGCGGCUUCCUGGACUGUUACUGACACUGAGGCGCGAAAGCGUGGGGAGCAAACAGGAUUAGAUACCCCCGUAGUCC
rnacentral:rRNA from 1 species